rnacentral:rRNA from 1 species
AUUGAACGCUGGCGGUAUGCUUUACACAUGCAAGUCGAACGGUAACAGGCCGCAAGGUGCUGACGAGUGGCGCACGGGUGAGUAAUGCAUCGGAACGUGCCCAGUCGUGGGGGAUAACUACUCGAAAGAGUAGCUAAUACCGCAUACGAUCUAUGGAUGAAAGCGGGGGACCGUAAGGCCUCGCGCGAUUGGAGCGGCCGAUGUCAGAUUAGGUAGUUGGUGGGGUAAAGGCUACCAAGCCAACGAUCUGUAGCUGGUCUGAGAGGACGACCAGCCACACUGGGACUGAGACACGGCCCAGACUCCUACGGGAGGCAGCAGUGGGGAAUUGUGGACGAUGGGCGCAAGCCUGAUCCAGCAAUGCCGCGUGCAGGAAGAAGGCCUUCGGGUUGUAUACUGCUUUUGUACGGAACGAAACGGCUCUGGUGAAUACCCGGGGCUAAUGACGGCACCGUAAGAAUAAGCACCGGCUAACUACGUG